CGACCAAUGCAGCCUGGGUGAUGGAAAGCUCUACCAGUCGGAAACUCCCGAAUAAACAUCUUCGGAAACGAGGAUCAUAAAACAAGAUGGCGGCCAUAUCGCGAAAGAGUUUCAAGGAAGAAAAAGAGUCUCAAACCAGUAACUGACAUGAAUUUUGCAAAGUACAUUUGUGAGGCUAUUCACUUGUCCCCAAGCCCCCCACGGCCCUUAAAACUAGAGGCACAUACCUGUGGAUGCCAUCAUGGCAUGAGCCAAACAGCAAGGACAGCAUAACAUAACGCACAACUUUAAAAAAGGGAACUCUACUGUACUUACCAUUAUCCUAGAAGUGCUUAUUGCCCUUCACUU